ensembl:lncRNA
CUUGGACUGCAAGGACAUCCAGCCAGUCCAUCCUAAAGGAGAUCAGUCCUGGGUGUUCAUUGGAAGGACUGAUGUUGAAGCUGAAACUCCAAUACUUUGGCCACCUGAUGCGAAGAGCUGACUCACUUGAGAAGACCCUGAUGCUGGGAAAGAUUGAGGGCAGGAGGAGAAGGGGACGACAGAGGAUGAGAUGGUUGGAUGGCGUCACCGACUCGAUGAACGUGGCUUCAUGUGGACUUCGGGAGUUGGUGAUGGACAGGGAGGCCUGGUGUGCUGUGGUUCAUAGGGUCACAAAGAGUCAGACACGACUGAACUGAACUGAACUGAAUAAGUAAUGAUAUUUAGCAUCUUUAUGUGUUUACUGGCAUCCAUGAGUCUUCUGUAAAGUACUAUUUGAAAUCUUUUGCUCAUUUUUUUGGGGGGUUUUUUGUCUUCUUGUUACACUAUAGGAGUUUUUGCAAUGUAAGACAUUUAUUUUUUCCCUUUAAUAAUUGAAUCAUUAUACUUAUAUCAUCAAAUUCACACUUUUAAUGAGUACAGUUCAGUGGUUUUUAGCAUAUUCACAAAGUUGUGGAAACUGUCACCACUAUUUAACUCGAAAUGUUUUCAUUACCCUGCAAAAAAAAUUCCCAGACUCAUUAGCAAGCACUCCCCCAUCCUCUUCCUCCCAACCCCAGACAACCAAUCAGUAAUCUACUUCCUGUGUCUACUAUAUCAAAUGGACCUUUUAUAUAAAUGGAAUCAUACAGUAUGUGAUAUCUUGUGACUGGCUCCUUCCAUUUAGCAUAAUGUUUUCAAGUUUCAGCUAUGCUAUCAUAUGAAUCAGCACCUCAUUCCCUUUUUAAAAAAAUAUUUAUUUUCCUUUGCUUAUUUGGCUGUGCCUGGUAUUAGUUGUGGCAUGGGGGAUCUAGUUCCUCGCCCAGGAAUCAAGUCUGGGUCCUUUGUAUUGUGAGUAUGGGUCUUGGCCACUGGACCACCAGGCAAGUCCCUUCAUUCCGUCUUAUGCCCGAGUAGUAUUCCACUUCAUGGAUAUACUGCAUUUUAUUUAUCUGCUCAUCAGCUGCUGGACACUUGGAAUAUCCCCCCUCUCACUUUUUGGCUCUUAUAAACAAUGGGGUUAUGAGCAUCCAGGUACAAGUUUUUAUAUGAACCUAUGUUUACAGUUCUCCUGAGUAUGUACCUUGUAGUGGAAUUGGUGGGUCAUGCGGUAAUUCUAUGUUUAACUUUUUGAGAAACCACCAAAUGGUUUCCGAAAGCAGCUGUACCAUUUUGUAUUCCCACUAGCAGCUUCUGAGAGUUCCAAUUUCUUCACAUGCUGAACAGCACUUGUUAUGGUUUUUUAAUGUUAGCCAUCCCGGUGGGUGCGAUGUGGGAUCUCAUUGUGGUUCUGGUGUGCCUCGCCUCGGUGACUGAGGAUGUUGAGCAUUCUUUCUAAUGCUUAUUGGCCAUCUGCAUAUCUUCUUUGGAGGAAUGUCUAUCAGAAACCUUUGCUCACUUUUAAUUGGAUUAUUUGUCACUUUACUGAGGCAGAAACGCUGGGUUGGAAGAAGCACAAGCUGGAAUCAAGAUUGCCGGGAGAAAUAUCAAUAACCUCAGAUUGGUAGAUGACACCACCCUUAUGGCAGAAAGUGAAGAGGAACUAAAAAGCCUUUUGAUGAAAGUGAAAGAG